GUACAUAGCAUGUUAAAUACACCGAUUCUCGUUCGAUCAUCGAAGUUAAGCAGGGUCGGCCAUAGUCAAUAUUUCGAUGGGUGACCGGCUGGCAACACC